rnacentral:rRNA from 1 species
CAGUCGCCGCGGGAAUACGUAGGUGGCAAGCGUUGUCCGGAAUUAUUGGGCGUAAAGCGUGCGCAGGCGGCUUUGCAAGACAGGUGUGAAAUCCCCGGGCUCAACCUGGGAACUGCAUUUGUGACUGCAAGGCUGGAGUGCGGCAGAGGGAGAUGGAAUUCCGCGUGUAGCAGUGAAAUGCGUAGAUAUGCGGAGGAACACCGAUGGCGAAGGCAAUCUCCUGGGCCUGCACUGACGCUCAUGCACGAAAGCGUGGGGAGCAAACAGGAUUAGAUACCCCUGUAGUCCCUGUCUCUUAUAU